UAUUAACACUAAUAACUCAUCGGCCCAAACCCUCGUGCCAAAAUGAUCUAGUCCAGUAAUAAUUAUUAGAUUGGUCCUUGUAUUCCGGUUUGAUGUAAGACUAUUGGGGCGUCACAAACUAAUACCGUCCAUGCAUGUCGUCUUUGUCUGUUCUGAUGCCCUAGUCACUCCCUGACCCAAAAUCAUUCGGUGAUAUGAGACUCAUCUCACACUUCCGAUUAGCAAACCUGACUCUAAUAACAAACGUAAGCACUAAUAGCUUAUUGGGUUCAAACUACCAACCCAAAAUGCUUACAUUUAAUUAUUAUUACUGAAGCCCUUGAUUCUUAUAAUUCUCAUUCACAACUUCUUUUACAUCCGGUGUACACGGGAUUAUUAAAGUGUCACAAAAACUGAACAAUAGCAUAUUUUUCGCAGGGAUUUAAAUUGUAAGAAGUUUUAUUUUACUACGUAACUUUACAAUGAUUUCGAAAUAAGUAUAUGACAUAUAAA
rnacentral:lncRNA from 1 species